GCAUUGGUGGUUCAGCAUUAGAAGUCUUGUCUUCUGUACAGGAGACCCAGGUUCAAUUCCUAGCUAAUGCA
rnacentral:tRNA from 1 species